UUCUUUACAAUAUGGAAUCCGGACAACAUGCUCACGAAAUCCCCACUUAGUCCGACCACAUUAAGCUCCAAUCCAUCAAGCUUGAAGCCUCCUAUGAACUGAUGUAGUUCAGUAAAAGUAUGCAUGCAUUAUUUGGUUCUUGUUAACGAGGAUGAUGGGAUAUUUCAAGAUGGUUUGGAAAAUGUUGAGAAUGAAGAGGAUAUUGUGAGAUUUUAAGACAAAAUAAAUGAAGAACUACAACCUUCAAUCAGGAGCCUUGAAGUUGAAAAACACAUAGUUGCUUGAAAUGUGAAAAGAAAAUGAAGACUACCAGCAAAGGAAAAAAUUUGAGCUAGAAGCUACGCGGAAAGAUUUUCACAGCCAACAUGCAAACUCUGAAGCUACGAUACGACGUAUUGUGAAAAAACUACUAUUAGAGUACUUUGGAAUCUUAGAGAU
rnacentral:lncRNA from 1 species